GGGUUUGAGAGGGAGGGGCUGCAGGGAGACACGGGGCUGGGGGAGCUCUGGGCACUGCGAGGACCAGCGUGAGGAAGGUGGGAUCGUGUGAGACGUGGGACCCCCCCCUUGCUGGAGAGGUCGGGGGACCGUUCUGUGCCCGGGUGGGGCAGUGGCACUGUGACCCCAGCCCAGGCGUCCCUGGGGGGGACACACCUUCACAGGAGAGUGGGGGAUCACAUUCAGUGCGUGUGGCCCCCCCAGCCUGUCCCUGGCAGUGGGGGGCAUUGCUGGGGGCCAUUAGGGAGGGAGCUGUGGCAGCUGCCCCGUGUCCCCCCCUCCUCCUGGGCUGGGCUGGGCCCAGGGAGGCAGUGGUGGCCUGUCACCACACACAGAGAGGUCUGUGGCCACCCCCCCCACAAAGGGACAGCAGAGGGGGGUCUCUGGGUGCCCUGGGAGCACAUCCAGCCCAGGAACUGCCCCACCUUGAGCUCCUGCCCCGGGGCUGCUCCGUGCAGUCACACCCACGGAACCCACACUGGCCCCGUCUCCUCUGCCAACUGUGCCUUGUUCAAAGCACUGGGAGCCCUGGAAGGAAGUGCUGGAAGUGCAAAGAGGCUCUGCCGGGGCACUUAAAUCCCUGGGGGCUGACCUUGGGCCAAAGGAGGUGACACCCUUAGCACAGGGAGCACUGGGUCCUGUGUUUACGUGGAGAUGAGGCUCUUUUCCGUAUUUUUUUCUUCUCCCACCCCAGCAGUGAAGCAGAAAGGCUUCACCUCACCUUCUUUGCUUCGUUGUUCUUAGAUCCAUCAUGUUGGGCCACGUUUGCAGUCAUCCCUCCCGGGUGGUCUGUGAGGUGUCAUGGAAGAGUGUGGGACGGGGACAAGCCUGAUGCCCUCAGGGAGCAAAGCUCCUCCUGGAGCAGUCCCUGGGGGCAGGAGUGGCCAGGCCUUGCUCUCACUCUCCUCCUGCACACUCGGAGCUGGUGAGGGGGAGGGAGGUGGGCCUGGGAGAGCGAGCUGGAUGGAUGUGACACAGCUGCAUGGGGCUCCCUGGGCCAGGCUGACGAUGGUGGCUUGGUUUGGGUGCUGGAGACCAGUGAGCAGAGCCCCCCAGUCACUGGCUUGGCUCCUGCAAACACAAAGCUUUGGUAAAAGAGGGAGCCUGUCGUGGGCUCCGUUCCCACUCGUGGGGGGGCUGCCUUCCCUCUCAGCAGCUGUGCAGUGAGGAGGGGGGUCUCCAGCUGCAGCAACCCCCUGGCUCGUGUAGCAGGCACCAAAACCUGCUCCCGGGUUUUUCCUGAAGACACUUCUGGGGGAAAUGGUGCUGCAGUUAAACCUGGGAGAGGAGCCCUGGGAGCCGAGCGGGGCGAGGAGGGAGGUCCCACACGGCACAGGAGGCACUUGCUGUCCCCAGUUAGGCACUGGUGGCGUGUUCCCUGCCCUGGGUUUGGGUGGCACAGGCUGAAAUGUGGGACCUGUGUCCCGAGGGCAGGGGUUCUGCUGCCUGGCAGGAGGAGCUUUGCUCCUGAGCCUGUGGUUUUACUGGGUCAGUGGAGACUUUGAUAAGAGUGGGCGGGUUCAUUUAGUGCUCAAAGAGCAUCAUCUCUGCCUCUGUCCUGCUCCCUUCCUUCCUUCCUCUGUCUCUUGUUUCCUUGGGAACCCUUGUUCUUGGCUGUUUUAGCCUUGAGGAAGUGGCUGAUCCAGCACAAUUCUCUGGUACUGGGUCACAUAUUCCAGCCUUGCUUUAGGCAUUGAGGCUUGUUGUGCUCUGCCCUGUCCAGAUUCCAAAGCUGGUUGACCUUAUCAGGCUCCCAAAUCAGGUUUGGAUUGGGAGGGACCUUAAAGCUCAUCCAGUCCCACCCUCUGCCAUGGGCAGGGUCACCUUCCACCAGCCCAGGUUGUUUCAAGCCUCAUCCAGCUUGGCUUUGGACACUUCCAAGGAUCCAGGGGCAGCCACAGCUUCUCUGGUCACCCUUCUGCAGCCCCUGAGUCUGGCUCAGCCUUUAAACCGUGCCUGGCAGAAGCUGCUCUGGCCACACACCAUCCACACGAGUGGAUUUUGGGGUCCUGGAGGAGGCAGUGUGUCCAGGGAAGGAGCACGUCCUCGCAGGGGAGGUGGUGUCCCUGCAGCUGCUCCAGCAGGAGCAGAGGAGCUUCGUGCAGGAUGAUCCACAGGUCCCUGCAGCCCUGGCUGGGUGUCCCCUGCCGUGGCUGCCGGGAGCACAGACGGGGAGCAGCGAGUCGGGAGCCCGGCUGGUUUCAGCUUUGCAGAGUGAACGUUUCUGCAGGGGGGACAGGCAGGGGUGUGCUCCUGCUGGCACAGGCUGGCAGGGGGAGAGGGACCCGCUCUUGAAGAGGCACCAAAGAGCUGCUGUGCCCAAGGAAGCCACGUGGCACAAGGUGCUGUCGGAGAGGGUUCAAAGGUUUAAUGGUACUGGAGACGUUUUCCUGGGGGUGCUGGUGGCAGCAGCUGGGCACGAUCCCAGCUGUGCCCAGGGGGGCAGGAGGCCAAUGGCCCCAGGGCUGUGGCAGCACUGCUGGGGCAGCAGGGCCAGGGCAGUGCCCUCCCUGUGCUGGCACUGCUGGGGCACCUCCAGGGCUGGGGCAGCUCUGGGACCUCACACAGGAGACACAGGGAGGGGCUGGAGCGUGGGCAGGGAAGGGAAGGGAGCUGGGAAGGGGCUGGAGCAGCAGGAGCAGCUGAGGGAGCUGGGGAGGCUCAGCCUGGAGCAAAGGAGGCUCAGGGGGGACCUUCUGGCUCUGCAACCCCCUGACAGGAGGGGGGAGCUGGGGGGGGUCGGGCUCUGCUCCCAGGGAACAAGGGACAGGAGGAGAGGGAACGGCCUCCAGCUGUGCCAGGGGAGGCUCAGGUUGGACAGGAGGAGGAAUUUCCUGCUGGAAAGGGUGGUCAGGCCCUGGCAGGGGCUGCCCAGGGAGGUUUGGAGUGCCCAUCCCUGGAGGUGUCCCAGGAAGGCCUGGCCGUGGCACUCAGUGCUCUGGGCUGGGGACAAGGUGGGGAUGGGGCACAGGGGGGAUCCAUGGGCUGGGAGGGCUUUUCCCAGCUGAAGGACUCUGUGAUUCUGUCCCUGUAACACUUCUGCAGCAGGGAAUUCUUUGGGUGUGCACAGGUACCUCUGGGGACAAGCUGAGCUGAACUGGGAAGGAAGGGAACAGCUCCAGCCUUGCAGGUGCCGUGUCCCAGCCCUGCCUUGUGGACACAUCCCAAGGGGGUUUGCUCCAGCCCCUCUGGCCUGCUGGCUGGGUGUGGGGGGUGGGUGGUGCUGGCAGGGGGGAGAUCUCAUGUCAGACAUGCCCUGGGCUGAGGGCAGGCCGUGGGUGCUGCCCCUGGAGCAAAGCACAGCGGGCUCUGCUCCGGGAGGGCUUGGGGUGUCCUCUGCCAAACCCAGCUCUCAGUCACUGUCCAGCACUGGGGGUCCCCUGCCAAGAAAGCUGCGGCCAAGGCACUGCUGUUUCCAGGGGGAACCUCCCAGUUGGAUGCCAGGGGUCAGAUCCUUAAAACCUGCCUGCAGAUCAGCUUCGGGCCAGAUUCUGGGCAACCUCCUCCUACAAAUUUAUGGGAAGGGGGAAAAAUGGGACCAUCUGGAACGUUCACAGAGGUGUCUGCUCCUCUCUUGCUUUGUCUGCUGCAGAAGGACUUUUCAUGAGGGCCUGGAGGGACAGGACACAGGGAAUGGCUUCCCACUGCCAGAGGGCAGGACUAGAUGGGAUAUUGGGCAGAAAUUAUUCCCUGUGAGGGUGAGGAGGCCCUGGCACAGGUUGCCCAGAGAAGCUGUGGCUGCCCCUGGAUCCCUGGGAGUGUCCAAGGCCAGGUUGGAGGGGGCCUGGAGCAACCUGGGCUGGUAGGAGGUGUCCCUGCCCAUGGCAGGGGUUGGGACUGGAUUCAUUUAAGGUCCCUUCCCACCCAAACCAUGCUGGGAUUUGAUGCUGUGACUGAGGGCACAGUGCUGCAGCUCCACGUGUCCUGGCAGUUACAGCAGCUCCUGUGGUCUGUCCCUGUCUUUCCAUAUUCCAGCCACGUGCCCUGCGUUCCCUGUGGCCUUUCCUCACCCGGUGCUGUCUGAGCUGCUUGUGAUUCCACAUCUUCCAGCUCUGCCCCAGGGGAUCCUGCGCUCUGCUGGUGUCUUCUGGUGUGAUGGAGCCACUGGUGACCAUUCCCAGGGCUGUGCUCCCUCUGUGGCCCCUGGAUCCAGGUGCUGUAGGAGCAGGGAAGGCCCAGGAGGGAGGAGUGUUGUGCAGGAGGCUCUGGCCGAGGGUGGGUCUCUGCUCCCGUGAGUUCCUGGCCGUGUGAGCGGGGUGGAGGGGCAGGUACAAACCUCUGUCGUGGUGUCACCUGGACCUCAGGCAUUGUCCUGGGGAAUCGUGGUCUGGGGGAAAUGCCAGCAAAGGAGGGUGUGGGAGUGCCACUCCUGAGCUGUGGCACGGGAGGGAUGGGAUAGGAAAGCAAUGUGUGUGGUGUCCGAGUCCAGAGGGGGGACAGGCCGGUGGCUCAUCCCAGAAGCUUCCAGGGCAAGUGUGAGUCCAGCAACAGGAGACUGAAGUGAGGCCUGGGAAGGGCCUUUUGUAGCAAAACUGCUGCUGAAACCCUCAAACCCUUCCAUUCUGUGUCCCUGUGUCUGAGCAGGAGCUGGUGGUGCCCUUAAGGGACCUAAAGGUGCAGUAGUGUAGAUCCUACAUCCCUCUGGAUGGUGGGAAUCCCUCUGGUGGAGCAUCCAGCAGGCCUCUGAUCCCUGUGCAGUGAGCUGGGCAGGCCCCAUCCAGAGAAGAUGCUUCCCACAUUUGAUUAUUCGAGCUAUUAAAGGAUUUUCUAACAGGAAAACAACUCUGUCCCUCAUUUCCAGUGUCAGAUGGGAAGAGCGUUCGCAGGAGAGCUCAGGAGACCCGGACAGGCAGCUGGCUCCAAGGAUUUCCAUUUAGUGUGGAAAGCACUUUUUUUUCUGGAUGCUCUUCUCCCUUUUCUGCUCCUUCCAGCUGGGAAUCCAGCUCCUGGUCCCGUGUAGUGUCCUCAGGAAAUCCCCUUGGCUCCAGGCCUGGAGUGCCGUGGGGAGCAGGGAUGCGGAUGCUGCCGCCGGGAGCCGGGAGCUGUUCCCGGCAGGAUUUUAUGGCUGCUCUGGAAAUGGGAGCCCUGAGGAGAGCUCUGUGGGGCGUUCAGAGGCACUGAUGUGCCCGUGGCAGCUCAGACUGGUGGAACUGGGAGCCAGGGCAGCAGGACAGGAAGCGUUUUCCACUGGGAUGGGGCUGUGAGGCUGGAGGCCACGGCGAUGGAAAGGCCUGGCCGGUGCCUCCCUCCAGACAUCCAGCUCGGCUUCUCCUUGGCAGGAAGGGUGAGGAGGAGGGGAGGCCUUUGAGCCCAGCUCUGGAGUCACUUAACUCCUUCCCCAGGGGCUCUUUAAUUGCUCUGAGACAGCUUUUAAACACGCCCAGCUUCCCAAGGCGCUGCCUGGCUGCGCCGUGAGGAAGUCCAGGAGUGCUCCCAGACUCCGUGAUUCCCAGGCUAGAGGGGUUUUUCUGCCUUCUUCUCCUGUUCUGUGAUUAAAUUCAGGGUUUUGAACCUC